AUGCCCUGGGUUCGGAGUCCCACAUUCCCUGGGGUCCCCGUCUCACAUGCCGCAGGUUCCGCGUCCAAAAUUUCCGAGGUUCCCCUUUUGACAUUUCCGGGGUUCCCCAUCCCACAUGCCCCGGGUUCCCUGUGUUCCCCGUCCCACAUGCCCCGGGUUCCCUGUGUUCCCCGUCCCACAUUCCCCGGGUUCCGUGUGUUCCCUGUCCCACAUGCCCCGGGUUUCGUAUCCCACAUUUCCGGGGUUCCGCAUUCCACAUGCCCCGAGUUCAGAGUCCCACAUUCCCUGGGGUCCCCGUCUCACAUGCCUCGGAUUCCGCAUCCCAAAUUUCCGGGGUUCCCCUUCCCAUAUUCUCCGGGGUUCCCCAUCCCACGUUCCCGGGUUCCCCUUCCCGCAUUCCCCAGGUUCUUCGUUCCACAUUCCUGGGGUUCCGUGUCCCACAUUUCCGGGGCUCCCCAUCCCACAUUCCCCAGAUUCCGCAUCUCACAUUCCCGGGAUUCCCCUUCCCGCAUUCCCUGGUUCCACGUCCCAAAUUCCCAGGGUUCCCCUGCCCCCAUGCCCCAUGAGGCUUCCCAUCCCUCAUGUCCCAAGUUCUCCGUCCCGCAUUCCCCGGGUUCUGCGUCCCACAUUCCCCAGGUUCCGCGUCCCACAUUCCCCGGAUUCCCCUUCCCACAUUCCCCGAGUUCCCUGACCCACAUUCCCGGUGUUCCCCCGUUCCACAUUCUCCAGGAUUCCCCUUCCCACAUGCCCCGGGUUCCACGUUCCACAUUCCCUGGGUUCCCCGUCCCACAUUCCCCGGGUUCCGCGUUCCACAUGCCCCAUGUUCCGCAUCCCACAUGCCCCGGGUUCCGCGUCCCACUCCGUGCGUUCUCCUGGGUUCAAGCGAUUCUCCUGCCUCAGCCUCCUGAGUAGAUGGGAUUACAGGAGCCCAACACCACGCCCAGCUAAUGUUUGUAUAUUUAGUAGAGAUGGGGUUUCACCAUCUUGGUCAGGAUGAUCUCUGUCUUGACCUCAUCAUCUGCCCGCCUCAGCCUCCCAAAGUGCUUUUUUGUCUUUUUUGAAACAGGGUCUCACUGUGUCACCAGGCUGGAGUGCAGUGGCGCGAUCUUGGCUCACUGCAACCACCACCUGCCCGGUUCAAGCGAUUCUCCUGCCUCAGCCUCCCGAAUAGCCCAGGACUGCAAGUGACUGCACCACACCCAGCUAAUUUUUUUUGUAUUUUUAGCAAAGACUAGAGUUUUGCCAUGUUGGCAGGCUGAUCUCCAACUCCUGACCUCAAGUUAACCACCCACAUCAGUCUCCCAACGUGCUGAGAUUACAGGCAUGAGUCACCUGUGGUCUUUGUUUUUUAGAUUCUCACCCAGGCUGGAAUGCAGUGGCACAACCUCUGCCUCCCGAGUUCAAGCAAUUCUCGUGCCUCAGUCUCCAGAGUAGCUGGGAUUACAGGCACAUGCCACCAUGCCGAGCUGAUUUUUUUGUAUUUUCAGUAGAGAUGGGAGUUUUACCAUGUUAGCCAGGCUGGUCUCGAACUCCUGACCUCAGGUGAUCCAUCCGCCCAGACCUCCUAAAGUGCUCCAUUACGGGCGUGAGCCAUCGUGCCCGGCCACAUGUGGUCUUCGUGAUGAGUCUCAAAUCAUAAAACACAUUCGCAAAAGCAAUUUCACAAAUUUACCAAGCUACGAAGAAUUUUCCUUACAUGUAGUGAAAGGUCUGCAGUGUGCUAAGCAUGUUAAAUUCUUUGCAUCUUGGUUCCAGCAGCUUAGAGGAACGUUUUAGUGAUAUCACAGGACGCAGUGAUAAAAAUCGAUCCCAUAACUGGUACACUGAGAAAUGUCCCUCUCUCUCUCUGUCCCUCAUAAGCUCAAUCACCAGAAGCUUAGAAAACUGGCUGUUUCCAGUUAUGUCCCUGUAAAUAUGUUCCACGUUUAAUAGUGAUGCCUUAGAAAUACUUAUUUUUUUUUGAGACGGAGUCUCAUUCUGUUGCCCAGGCUGAAGUGCAGUGGUUCAAUCUUGGCUCACUGCAACCUCCGCCUCCAGGGUUCGAGCGAUUCUCCUGCCUCAGCCUCCUGAGUAGCUGGGACUACAGCCGCACGCCACCACACCCAGAUGAUUUUUGCAUUUAUAGUAGACACGGGGCUUCAUCAGGAGAGCCAGGCUGGUCUCGAACUCCUGACGUUAGGUGAUAUGCCCGCCUCGGCUUCCCAAAGUGCUGGGAUGACAGACAUGAGCGGCUGGCCCUGGUGUUGCUUUGUCCUCUUCCUGUUAUAAAAUGUUCAAUAGACACCGUAUUUCCCAGAUGAAAAGCAGAACAUCACAACUACAGAGCAGACAGGAAACUAUAUAAAACAAUUAGAUACCCGCUAUAUUAAUGUAUUUAUUUUUUCAUAAAGUAAAUGAACAAAACCAACAAUUAUGCCUCUGUUGGGUCUCAGAAAAGGACGCCCUAAAAUGAAGAGCUUAUAAGCAGCCUCAGAAGCAAACCUUUCUCUCCGACCUUCUCCCACCCACCUGUCUCUCAGACCGAUUUUGCCCCAAGGAAGCCAUAGAAACUAGAAUCCGUCUUUCCCAACGUGGGUCCUAGAAACCGAAACACCUUUACCUCAAUGCCAGCCAUAAACCCUAAAAACAGAACUCUAACUUUCCCACCACCCUGAGUAUAUAAAAGCUGGCCAUAAAGAAAUUCCCUGGCCUGGCACGGUAGCUCACGUCUGUAAUCGAAGCACUUUGGGAGGCUGAGGUGGGUGGAUCACUUGAGGUCAGGACUUCGAGACCAGCCUGGCCAACAUGGAGAAAUCCUGUCUCUACUAAAAAUACAAAAAUUAGCCGGGCGUGGUGGCAGGUGCCUGUCAUACCAGCUACUUGGGAGGCUGAGGCAGGAGAAUCGCUUGAACCCGGGAGGCGGAGGUUACAGUGACCUGAGAUGGCGCCACUGCACUCCAGCCUGGGCGACAGAGUGAGACUCUGGGAAAAAAAAAUUAAGAGACUGGAAGAAUUAAGACAAGGAAAUUGAGCUGUUCAGAGCUCAAGUCCCCUCUUUGAUCCAAGAUAAACCGCAAACCCCCAAUUACUGUCGAGAUAUCUUUUUAGGCAAACUUCUCCGAUCUCCUCACCCCAGGGGAAUGGAAAAUGGGGGAAACAGGGAGUCAUUAAGAGCAGGGAGGCAGAGACUGGCUUUCCUGCUGCGUCUUUUAACUGUCACGUACCAGCAUUCGCUUCUCAAUCUGUGGGGUUGAUUGAUGGGUAAGACGAAUGGUUACUUUAAAAAUCAGAGCAUGUACCAUCCAAAGGCGGAUUUCUCCAGAGUAAAUGGAUGGUCUGUGUAAUUACGGCUUUAUGCGGUAGUGUGGAGAAGAGAGAACUAACAUUGUUUAAAAAUACACUGUGGGGGCGGGGGAAAGUCAAUAAAUGUCUCUACAGGAGGUGUAGAAAUGAGUUG
rnacentral:lncRNA from 13 species